GCCUGGGUGGCUCAGCGGUUGAGCGUCUGCCUUUGGCUCAGGUCAUGAUCCUGGGGUCCGGGGAUCGAGUCCCCCAUCAGGCU
rnacentral:tRNA from 1 species